AGUAAGAUGACUGAAGAUGAUAGGUGAUAAAUUGUAAAUUUAUUUAUGAAUAUAAAUUCUCUUGCUA
rnacentral:tRNA from 1 species